UAAGCUUUAUGAGUGUUGGGAUUCGUUCUUUUGAUAGAGAGUUAUAAUUGCUUGAGUUAACUUCAAUUCUGUGGUUCUAAUCAUUGAUACAUUUCUUAAUUGUUGUUGGCCAAUGAGCAACUGCUGGUUUUUGUCCCUUGUUGAAUUAACUAAUGAAGCAUGAACACAAUGAGUGCUUGUUGAUAUGUAUGCAGAAUAUAGGCCAUUGAUGAAGCUCGAGCGCUGUUUGAUAAUAUGCCAAAGAAGGGUACUCGGGGGCACAAGCUUAUUGCACCCAAAUUUGAGCAAAUUUGAUUAGAGAGAAAUUGUUCAAUCUAAUGCGGGUUCAAAAACUUGCAGCAAGGAACGCUAUGGAUUGUUAUAAUGUCAUAUUCAGAACAUAAUUGCAAUUAUGGAUGGGAUUGAAUUCUAUCGCGGUUUGUUCCUUGAUGGUUGGUAUGGACACAGGCUACUCUGUCUUGUUAUUCUUUCUCCAUGAAGGAACCAUUGUGUUAUGCUAGUAAUUGGGCAAGCUUGCACUAGACUGUAACUAUAAUUAAGUUACAUGCAUCUAUCACGUCUCUUGACUUGUCUUUUUUCCCUUUGUUUUCAUUGGUCAUUUAUUUUCUCCACAAAACUCAAUCGGGUAUUCUUAGUCAA